AGCCUACGGGAGGCAGCAGUGGGGGAUAUUGCACAAUGGGGGGAACCCUGAUGCAGCGACGCCGCGUGGGUGAAGGAGCGUUUCGGCGCGUAAAGCCCUAUCGGCAGGGAAGAAGAUGACGGUACCUGACCAAGAAGCCCCGGCUAACUACGUGCCAGCAGCCGCGGUAAUACGUAGGGGGCGAGCGUUAUCCGGAUUUAUUGGGUUUAAAGGGUGCGCAGGCGGAGGUGCAAGUCAGCGGUCAAAUUGCGGGGCUCAACCCCGUACUGCCGUUGAAACUGCAUCCCUUGAGUGCGCGAGAAGUA
rnacentral:rRNA from 1 species